rnacentral:lncRNA from 1 species
GAGAUUAAAUGUAAUUAUUUCUUGUUUACCUGGCUUAAUGUAGUUGUUAGAAAAUAAUCUUCAAACUUAUAUUUGUGUCUCCAGCCAUAUUUGAUCUUCCCCAUUUUCUUCUGCACCCACUCCCACCCCCUUUCCCAAAUCCACUCCAACUUACACCCAACUCCAUUUCCAUUUUCCAUUCUUGCCUUAUAGCUGGAAGUUUUCCUUACUUUAUAUCAUUGAGUUGCACUUCCAACACUAUUACUUUGCUUUGGACAUUGUUGGAUAUUUCCACUGGUUUUGUUGCCAUUAAUUGUCUAUUAUCAGAGCUGGGAUUCAACUCAGACCACUCACACAUGAGGCUUGGCUCCUCACUAUAGCCAGCUGCCAUCUUGGCAUCUUUCUUAAUGCUUUCAUGGUGAAGUCUCUAGUUAAAUUGGAUUUCUAUCCUAGUGUACCUCUCUUGUCCUACAAAUCCUCUGCUUCUUCUGACAGUCUCUGCAGAGCUGGGACAUGAACCCAGAGAAGCCUCUCCUAGAAGCCUACUCUAUUCAUAUUGCAACUUUCUCUCUGCUGGAUCCUACAAAGCUCCCAGGCCUCCGAGAACCUGUCUAACAUGUCUAUUUUGGGACAAGAGAGGUAAAAGGGUUUUAAAAGCUCAAUUUAACCCCCUGAGAAAUCAACUGAGUAAUGUUUAUACUGGGCAUCUUUCUGCAAAGAUGAAACAUACUCUAAAUAAAUAUACUACACAAUACAGACAUUCCCUGUUUGUGAGGUCAGAGAAGAGACCUAGAACACACUCCAGUAUGCAGGCUGCUGAUCGCAUCAGGAGACAUUUGGUGUUACAUCUUACUCCACAAGUCUAUCAAUUGAAUUGGAUCAGAAAUAAACUUUUUCUUUAUUUACACCAUGUAGACACAUGCUAAAAUGUCAGGAAUUAAUGCACACAUCUAUGCAUUAAUUUAUUUAUAAGUCAUUCUUCUACCUAUGCACUCAUUCAUCAAGCCAUCUAUAUACCCAUCUGCUCAUUCAUCAAUCUAUCAUCUAUCUAUCCAUUCACUUACUCAUCAAUCCUUUCAUCUACCCAUCUACUCAUUAGUUCAAUCUUUAAAUAUAUAAUUCUCAAUGAAGAGAUGCUGAUAGUAACUUUAUUUAUACUGGUGGUGCCAUUGUGCAAUAAUAAACAUUCAGGGAUAAGAAAAAAGUCCUUAUAUUGAAAGUAAAAUAUGAAUGUGGAAAGAUACAGCAAGAUUACUAUUUAAAGUGUCAUAGAUUUUACAAGUCCAAACAGUUACAGAAACAGAAUGAAUGGCUCCUAAUCUAGAGAUAAAAUAGUAUCAGAUAGCUCAUGAAAGGUCUUUUGAAAUGAACCUUGAAGUGUAUGAAUGAGUUGGAUGAAAGUUUGCUUUUUUUAAAAAAUAGGGUCUUGCUGUGUUGCUCAGAGUUCAAACUAUCCUCCUAUUUCAAUCCCAUUAAUGUCUCCUAUGACAGGUAUAUGUUACUUUGUUCAGUUUAUAAUCUUUUCUAAUGAGAUCACUAAAGAGUAAGAUUUUAGAGAAGAUUAUUAUUAAAAGUUCAUUAUUAUUACUGUUUGAAACAAACCCUGCUCAAGGGUAUACUACCAACAUAAUAUAAACCAGCAUUUAAAGACAUAUUAUAGGCAGAAAGUAGAGAAAUGGGUUUCCUGACAACAGUGAUCAUUCUUUACAAAACCUUGUGUUCCCAAAUGAUGUUACCUUUGUAUCUCAUUAAAUGCUCUUAAGAAUUCAGUGGUGGAUGUUAUCAUCCCAUUUAAAAGAUGAGGAGAUAGAGACUAAGAAGAGCUCUUUAACUUUUCAUGGACAGGUUAUUAGUAUGUACUAGCUCUAGAACACAAACCCAGAUAUUUCUCUUACAUCUGCUGCAGAUGAUAUCUGGAAUAGCAGACAUUGGUCUACACUUUGUAGAGAGCUCUUACUAAUAACAUGAAUCCUAGGAAUGAAGUCCAGUAGCAGAGUAUCAACUUAGUAUGUGAAAGAACCUGGGUACCGUACCUAUUAACUCAAAAUUAAGAAGAAUCAAAGUCAAAUUUCAUGAGCUAUUUUUAUUAGAGAUUCUUCGGUUUGUUUUUUGUUUUUUGCUUUUGUGUUUUUUUUUCAGUAAAUUAUUCUGUGAAAGGGCAAGGUGAAAAAAAAAGAUAAUAGAAUUCUUAACAAGAAGGGAAAAGGAAGAAUAUUCCUCCUGAGUUCUAGAACAACAACAACAACAAAAAUCUGAAAAGCAGGAAGCCUAUUGUUUGAAUCUGCAAUCCCUAUGAUUGAAAUACAUAGUGUAAAUGGUACAGCCACCCCAUGUUUCAGUUGAUGUCUCUGGAAAUGGGGAUAUUAACAGAACUUAUUUUGUUGGGUUAUUCAUAAAAAAGUUAGAUAAUGCUCAUGAAUUCCUCACCACUUUGCUUAAAAUAAAACAAGCCUUUGAUGAAUUUGUGUGUCAAAUGAGCAUGGCAUCCUUGCUGUCAUUAUUGCUAUUAUUCAAAUAAGAAAAUAACUUGGAACGACAAUGUACACUAAGUAAAGGAAAAUAUUUCCAAAAUAAAAAGAAUUCAUCAAAAUUCAACCAGGGUGUAAAGGAACACAAUGAGGGAGUAGAGACUAAAUUUGUAUCAUCAUACUAUUGAUAUUACACUGGGCUUGGAAGAAAAAAUACCAGCCUCUAAUAGAAAGAACCACAGAAAUAUCGCUGUACUGCACUUCUUGGAAUGAACCUUGGUUAUCACUCACCUUUGAUUUUUUUUGUCAUUUUUUUUUUGUCUUCUGAUGUAGGUUUUCACAUACCCCAGACUACCCCGGAAGACAUUACAUAACUGAAGAUGCCCUUGGACUUCUGGUACUCUCUCAUAUAAUCUAAGCAUUGGAGGGGGAGUGAGGGAGGAACCUUGAGCACUGCCUAGCAUACUUGCUGAGCUCAAGCGCCAAUUUGAGAUCCUGUCUCCAAAAAUAAGAUAGAGACUGAUAAAAUAAAAUACCUGACAUCAGCCUCUCGCCUUUACAAGCUUAGGGCUGCUAUUACAGCCAUGUGCAUACAUGUACAGUACAUAGCUUAUUAUGUGAGGGACAGAGAUUUGAAAUCAGGUCUUCACAUCUGCAUGGCAAGCACUUUCCUCACAGAAGCAGCUAUCCAGCCCCAUCCCUCACAGUCCUGAACAGGAUAAAUCCAGAACCAAUUCAAACGUACUCUCGACUCCCUCAUCCUGUUCCUUUCCACCUUAGCUGAAUUGUGAUGAAUUCUUUUUAUUAUGGAAUCUCUGUCUCAAUGGCAUAUACUCAAAAUGUCACUGGGAAUGUUUUUGUUUCUUUGUAGAGGCUUUCUGGGCUGUUUCCAAUUUUUUUGCCAUCUUGUCUGCUGGCAGCCACCUAAAUGCUUUGCUUUGCAGCUUCUUUCUCAAAUUCC